CCUACGGGUGGCAGCAGUGAGGAAUAUUGGUCAAUGGGCGGGAGCCUGAACCAGCCAAGUCGCGUGAAGGAAGAAGGUACUUAGUAUUGUAAACUUCUUUUGUCGGGGAACAAAGGCGGAGACGCGUCUCCGGAUGAGUGUACCCGAAGAAAAAGCAUCGGCUAACUCCGUGCCAGCAGCCGCGGUAAUACGUAGGGGGCAAGCGUUAUCCGGAUGCACUGGGCGGAAAGGGAGCGCAGGCGGCAUGGCAAGUCUGAUGUGAAAACCCGGGGCCCAACCCCGGGAGUGCAUUGGAAACUGGCAGGCUGGAGUGUCGGAGGGGUAAGCGGAAUUCCUAGUGUAGCGGUGAAAUGCGUAGAUAUUAGGAGGAACACCAGUGGCGAAGGCGGCUUACUGGACGACUACUGACGCUGAGGCUCGAAAGCGUGGGGAGCAAACAGGAUUAGAUACCCCAGUAGUC
rnacentral:rRNA from 1 species